rnacentral:rRNA from 1 species
CCUGAUGCAGCCAUGCCGCGUGUAUGAAGAAGGCCUUCGGGUUGUAAAGUACUUUCAGUUGUGAGGAAGGCAGUUAAGUUAAUAGCUUGGCUGUUUGACGUUAGCAACAGAAGAAGCACCGGCUAACUCCGUGCCAGCAGCCGCGGUAAUACGGAGGGUGCGAGCGUUAAUCGGAAUUACUGGGCGUAAAGCGCAUGCAGGCGGUCUGUUAAGCAAGAUGUGAAAGCCCGGGGCUCAACCUCGGAACAGCAUUUUGAACUGGCAGACUAGAGUCUUGUAGAGGGGGGUAGAAUUUCAGGUGUAGCGGUGAAAUGCGUAGAGAUCUGAAGGAAUACCGGUGGCGAAGGCGGCCCCCUGGACAAAGACUGACGCUCAGAUGCGAAAGCGUGGGGAGCAAACAGGAUUAGAUACCCUGGUAGUCCACGCCGUAAACAAUGUCUACUUGAAGGUUGUGGCCUUGAGCCGUGGCUUUCGGAGCUAACGCGUUAAGUAGACCGCCUGGGGA